rnacentral:rRNA from 1 species
ACGGGUGAGUAACACGUAUCCAACCUGCCGUCUACUCUUGGCCAGCCUUCUGAAAGGAAGAUUAAUCCAGGAUGGCAUCAUGAGUUCACAUGUUCACAUGAUUAAAGGUAUUCCGGUAGACGAUGGGGAUGCGUUCCAUUAGAUAGUAGGCGGGGUAACGGCCCACCUAGUCUUCGAUGGAUAGGGGUUCUGAGAGGAAGGUCCCCCACAUUGGAACUGAGACACGGUCCAA